rnacentral:misc_RNA from 1 species
GUAGGACACUAGGACCCAUUUUGUAUUUUGUAAUUUUUGUUAAACUUUGUAAUUAAACUUUUAUUUUAGUAUGUAUAUUUAAAACAUCUCUAAUGUAAUUUUGUAUUAAUGUGAUUAUCUAUAAAUUUGUGUUUAUAGAUAAAAUUUGAGUAUUUAUUCAAAAUCUGAGUAUGAUUUUGAUGUAAAAUGAAUGAAUGACAAAUAGA